GAGCCGAUGAAAGCCGAAGUGCCGCAGUAGCGAGCGGAGCCGAGUUUAGCCCAAGUUCCGAAGGUUGCCGAGGUUACACGAACCCGUCCGGCUCCACCCAGCGCAGCAGCCGAACCGAGCCGGGUUCAGCCGAACCGAGUCAUUCAAACAGCAUAAACAAACCCUCAGAGUCUCAGGAGCACGCCCAGCACAGUUGCUGGAUCUCUUGGAUGCUGUGCAGAAUGGAAUCAGGCAGCCAGAGCUCAGAUUCACCUUCUCCCUGACCCUCUGCAUUGCUUAGUGGCACAGUAGAUGCUGAAGCCAGGGGAGAACAUGUACACACAGGUAAAGAGAUUCCUUCUGUCACACCAGUAUUUGGACCUGAGGAAAGUACCAGAUUUUUUUCCAGCUUUUCGACAGUUUUGAUUUUGAGUACAAAACAGAGCGUGAGUGGAUCCUCAGAUUUCUUGGGGAGGGGCUGCAUGACAAACAUUGCUACGAGCUUUAUGACUAGAGGAUUUUCCAAAUAAUUCUUUCCUUUUUCACCAGUCUAUUGUGUGAUGGGGGCUCCCAGGUAAGACUUUAAAAAGAAAGCACCAAAAAACCCCAAACCACAGAAGCUUGCAUGGCUUUGAGAUCUCAAGUACAAAAAGAAAGGAGCAGCUGACUCUGCCUUUACUCUCUAGAGAAUCUGUUCCUUGUUGAAUUUUUGUAUGUGUGGAGGGGGAAAUAAUUGCUUGUGUCUAAAGCAGUCCCAUCCUUAUCCCCCUAAACUGGAACAUGUUCCUGCCAUCCUGGAGCCUCAUGUGGCUGCCGUGGUUCUGCUCCUAGUCAGGGCCUUUUGUUUUUUGGGGGUCUCUAUUCCCUGACCAGCACAUUUGUUACCUGAGCAGUGCUUCAGCAGGAGGGAAACUCACGUGCCAGGACCUCUCGCGUUUGGGAGCAUCCACCCUGAGUAUUUCAGGGAUCAAAACCUUGGACAGAAAGAUAAAAUUGUCUUGCUACCUGAAGAGUUCUUUUAAGAGUAGCACCUGUGGCAUGAAGCUUUGACUGGAGCAUGUCUCUCCUUCCCUGGUGUUGCUGAGAACAUGUAAUGUUCAUUUUACCUUGAAGUUGAUCAGAUUGCAGUCAGAUUUCUAAUUCUGAGUUAGAGCGUUAGAUCUGCACUGUCAAAGAACAAGUUACAUUUUCUGUUUCAGUGUCGUAUCUUGGCGAUAUUACAAAGUGCUGCCCGUGUCACCAGAGCUGCUGCCCAUGAGCUGAUCCAGGAUCACAGCCUCCUCACGUGGCUCCUGCACAGCUUAGAGAAAAGGUUUCUGGAAAACAAGGUGAUAAAAUAAUUUCCUUACUCCAUACUCUGUGGCUAACAAAUUUAGGAGACAAGAGAGAAAACAAGAAUCAAUCGCAGGAGAAGAGGAAACUUCUUCCUAUUCAGCUUGUAAAUGAAUUUCUGUAUGUUUUGGUCAGGUUGAUCAAACAUAUUGGUAAUUCCUUUGUCUUGUUUUUUGUUUCAGUUGUUUUGCAUUUCAUCUUCUGUCCAGCUGGAGCUUUAUUAAGGCCAGGAGGAAUUCUUUUUCUCUGCUGUUCUUGUAUUCCUGACUUCCAUUUACAAGGGGAACACAUGGCUCGGAGCUCAGGAGCUGGAUCUGUUACUGUCCCACUGGUCUGCACUAGUGCAGGUGAUGAAUUACGGGAUAGCUUGGGAACUUGGAAACAAGGAGAAGAAAUUAUUACAUCUCUUUGCAAAAAGAUUUGGCUACAUCAGGGCAUUAAUUCAGGGAACUAACACUUCAUCUUCAACAUUCUGUGCUCUGCCAUCAUCACUGUGAGCCCUGGAAGCCUCCUGAGCUGUUCUCAUACAGACCUAACUUGUUUGGUCAAAAAAUUUUAAUCACUGUGUGGGAACUCAGGGGGAUGAUCUUAUUCAACCUCCCUCAGUGGGACAUUAAAGCUCCACUUCCCAUUUUCUUGAACAGUCUGAGACACAAUAUUACUUUGUAUCAUUUUUAUUACAGGCAUUUUUAACUUUUUGAAGAACCAGAAAGACUGUUGGCGCAUAUGUGUGUCAUUAAUAUCCAUCCUCUCUCCAGAGUAGGAUGGGAAAAAAGGCUGCAGAGCUUCCUACAAGGGGCUGCAAGUGCAAAUAACGAGGAGCCAGAGGUUUAGUCAUGAUGAUUUACUAUUUCUUAAAAGAACCUGGUAGAUUUCAUGAUAGCAAAACCAGUGUGAAUAGAAGACUGAACUUGGGAAUCACGAUAGUCUCCUUGGGUUUAAAAAGCUUUAGUGGUUUUUAAAGACAUUUAUAUCAGAUCUGCUUUAUUUUAAUUUUAAAAAUAGCCUUGAUCCAUCACUGCUGCUGUGAUGUGUGACAAAAGGCCAUCUUCCCUCCGCUUGGAACAGGUGAGAGAUGGAGCUAAACCCCAAAGGAUUUUCUGCUCACCGAUUAUACCUGGGUUUUAUUGGGAAUUCUCUGCAAAAUCUGAUCAAUUGUUCUUGAAUGUGGCCGUGAGGGGAGGCGAACGUGCCAGCCCAGACCUGCAAACAGGCAGUGCCAGACCAAGAACCUUUGAAAUGUAAACCAGGAUUUAUUCAAUGACUCAGGAGUGCGUGCUGUACCCAGGUCCUCUGUACAAAUAUGGUACAGGGAAAAGCCAGAACUGCACAUUCCUUGUGAUAUGAAUUGAAUUUUGGGGGUGUCAAAUAAAAAUGAGAUGCAAAUGA